rnacentral:rRNA from 1 species
AUUGAACGCUGGCGGCAGGCCUAACACAUGCAAGUCGAGCGGCAGCGGAAAGUAGCUUGCUACUUUGCCGGCGAGCGGCGGACGGGUGAGUAAUGUCUGGGAAACUGCCUGAUGGAGGGGGAUAACUACUGGAAACGGUAGCUAAUACCGCAUAACGUCGCAAGACCAAAGAGGGGGACCUUCGGGCCUCUUGCCAUCAGAUGUGCCCAGAUGGGAUUAGCUAGUAGGUGGGGUAAUGGCUCACCUAGGCGACGAUCCCUAGCUGGUCUGAGAGGAUGACCAGCCACACUGGAACUGAGACACGGUCCAGACUCCUACGGGAGGCAGCAGUGGGGAAUAUUGCACAAUGGGCGCAAGCCUGAUGCAGCCAUGCCGCGUGUAUGAAGAAGGCCUUCGGGUUGUAAAGUACUUUCAGCGGGGAGGAAGGUGUUGAGGUUUAAUAACCUCAGCAAUUGACGUUACCCGCA